rnacentral:misc_RNA from 1 species
GAUGAAGAACGCAGCGAACGUGCGAAACGUAAUGUGAAUUGCAGAAUUCAGUGAAUCAUCGAAUCUUUGAACGCAUCUUGCGCUCCUUGGUAUUCCGAGGAGCAUGCCUGUUUGAGUGUCGUGAAUACUCUCAACUUCAACCCUUUUUUCGGAAAGGGAGGAAGGUUGGACUUGGGUGUUUGUUGAAGUGCGAGGUUCGACUCAUCCUAAAUGCAUUAGCGAUCUGCCUCGAUCACACACAAUGUGAUAAUUAAAACUAAAGCAUUGUUUAAUGAUCAAGUCGAGACUGCUUCUAACUGUCGCAAGACAAUAACGUGCAUACAUUUGUGCAUGUCAUUUGACCUCAAAUCAGGUAGGACUACCCGCUGAACUUAAGCAUAUCAAUAAGCGGAGGA